UACAGAGGGUGCGAGCGUUAAUCGGAAUUACUGGGCGUAAAGCGUGCGCAGGCGGUCUUGCAAGACAGGUGUGAAAUCCCCGGGCUUAACCUGGGAACUGCACUUGUGACUGCAAGGCUGGAGUACGGCAGAGGGGGAUGGAAUUCCGCGUGUAGCAGUGAAAUGCGUAGAUAUGCGGAGGAACACCGAUGGCGAAGGCAAUCCCCUGGGCCUGUACUGACGCUCAUGCACGAAAGCGUGGGGAGCAAACAGG
rnacentral:rRNA from 1 species